AUUGAACGCUGGCGGCAGGCCUAACACAUGCAAGUCGAGCGAGCGGCGGACGGGUGAGGAAUGUAUGGGGACUGCCCGAAAGGGGGGGAUAACAACUGGAAACGGUAGCUAAUACAGCAUACUGUCGGAUAAAGCCUAUGGGAGUGGAGAGUAGGUGAGGUAAUGGCUCACCAAGGAGACGAUCCCUAGCUGGUCUGAGAGGAUGAUCAGCCACACUGGGACUGAGACACGGCCCAGACUCCUACGGAGGCAGCAGUGGGGAAUAUUGCACAAUGGGCGCAAGCCUGAUGCAGCCAUGCCGCGUGUAUGAAGAAGGCCCUAGGGUUGUAAAGUACUUUCAGUCGGGAGGCGUUACCGACAGAAGAAGCACCGGCUAACUCCGUGCCAGCAGCCGCGGUAAUUC
rnacentral:rRNA from 1 species